rnacentral:rRNA from 1 species
UACGUAGGCGGCGAGCAGUAUUCGGUGAAUUAUUGGGCGUAAAGAGCUCGUAGGCGGUUUGUCGCGUCUGCCGUGAAAAGUCCGGGGCUCAACUCCGGAUCUGCGGUGGGUACGGGCAGACUAGAGUGAUGUAGGGGAGACUGGAAUUCCUGGUGUAGCGGUGAAAUGCGCAGAUAUCAGGAGGAACACCGAUGGCGAAGGCAGGUCUCUGGGCAUUAACUGACGCUGAGGAGCGAAAGCAUGGGGAGCGAACAGG